rnacentral:tRNA from 1 species
CGAAGUAUAGCUUAAAUCAAAGCAUCUCGCUUACACCGAGAAAAUAUUUGUUAAAACCA